rnacentral:rRNA from 1 species
GGAGGAAAAGAAACUAACAAGGAUUCCCCUAGUAACGGCGAGUGAAGCGGGAUGAGCUCAAGCUUAAAAUCUCCGUACAAGUUUUGUACGGCGAAUUGUAGUCUAUAGAGGCGUGGUCAGCGUGGGCGCUUGGGGCAAGUUCCUUGGAAGAGGACAGCAUGGAGGGUGAUACUCCCGUUCAUCCCUGAGUGGCUCGUGCGUACGACCCGUUUUCUUUGAGUCGCGUUGUUUGGGAAUGCAGCGCAAAGUAGGUGGUAAAUUCCAUCUAAAGCUAAAUAUUGGUGCGAGACCGAUAGCGAACAAGUACCGUGAGGGAAAGAUGAAAAGAACUUUGAAAAGAGAGUUAAAGAGUACCUGAAACUGCUGAAAGGGAACCGAAUCGUUUCCAGUGUCUAUAAUCCGUGGCAUAUUUCAUUGGCGAGUGUGUGCGUGCGUGUGCUGUGGCAGCGGCCUUUUGGCUGCGCUUGGCGCGUGUGGUGUGUGUGCUUGCUGGUGCCCUGUGCUGCGGUGGGACGUCAAUGUCAGUUCGUAUGCUGCGGGAAAUGGCUGCCGAGGAGGUAGGGCUUACGCUUGCGUUUGUCUGUUAUAUCUUGGUGGACGAGUCGUCGCGGUUGGGACUGAGGUGCCUACAACGUGCUUUUGAGUGGGUUUGUGUCUCCGUGUGUGCCGUGUGCGGAUAGCUUGCUAUGCGUGUGUGGUUAUGUGUGGAUUGAUACGGGCUUUAACUUGUUGCCGUUCGGGACGUUGACGAAAUGGAGCGAUCCGACCCGUCUUGAAACACGGACCAAGGAGUCUAACAUGUGUGCAAGUGUUAGGGUGUGGAAACCCCAGCGCGAAAUGAAAGUAAAGGGCAGCGCAAGCUGUCUGAGGUAGGAAACGUUGCGGGCUUCGGUCUGCGGCGUGGCACUAUCGACCGAUCAUGAACCUUCGUGGUGAAAGAUUUGAGUUUGAGCACAUAUGUUGGUACCCGAAAGAUGGUGAACUAUGCCUGAGUAGGGUGAAGCCAGGGGAAACUCUGGUGGAAGCUCGUAGCGAUUCUGACGUGCAAAUCGAUCGUCAAACUUGGGUAUAGGGGCGAAAGACUAAUCGAACCAUCUAGUAGCUGGUUCCCUCCGAAAUUUCCCUCAGGAUAGCAGCAACUUAUUUACGAUAGUUUUAUGAGGUAAAGCGAAUGAUUAGAGGAUUCGGGGAAGAAACUUUCUCGACCUAUUCUCAAACUUUAAAUCUGUAAGACCUGCAGGUUUCUUAAUUGAACUUGUGGAUG